rnacentral:rRNA from 1 species
CCCUUAGAUGUCCUGGGCCUCACGCGCGUUACACUGAUGCAUUCAACGAGCUUAUAACCUUGGCCGAGAGGCCUGGGCAAUCUUGUUAACGUGCAUCGUGAUAGGGAUAGAUUAUUGAAAUUAUUAAUCUUGAACGAGGAAUUCCUAGUAAACGCAGAUCAUCAAUCUGCAUUGAUUACGUCCCUGCCCUUUGUACACACCGCCCGUCGCACCUACCGAUUGGAUGGUCCGGUGAAGCCUCGGGAUUGUGGUUCUUGCCGCUUUAUUGUGGCGUGACCGCGAGAACUUGUCUAAACCUUAUCAUCUAGAGGAAGGUGAAGUCGUAACA